rnacentral:piRNA from 1 species
UGUGAGGUCAUGUUGUCCUUUGAGCCAGU